rnacentral:lncRNA from 1 species
UUCCGAUUAAAAUUCUCAAUUCUGAGACAAAACCAACCAAACAUCAAGUUUGAGACACAAAAACAACCAAAUAAAGUAAACUAAACAACCAAGUUUGAGACAAAGCAAACCAAACAUCAUUCCAAACCUUCCAAACACAUCUGAUAAACUAAUCAAGUCUAAAAAUACAAAAGACAACGCCACAUAAUCAUUUCUUCUUGCCACGACCACUACCACGUCCAACAGCAAGUUUCUUGCAUUCUCGUACUGGGAAGGAUUGUGUUAUUUCGUGAGUCAACAAUAGACCUACCAAGAUGGAUAUAGUCAUCACCAAUUACAGGACUGGUGAAGACACUGUAACCUUCCUAUAAAAAUUCACAUAUAAGAGAUUUGAGUCAUAAAAGAAAUUCUAAGCUAAACAUAAACGCUAUUUAACGAUACUAUAGCGGUUUAAUAAGCGCUCUAUCAUCGUCCGUCAUAAUAGGUCAAAGACAUAAUAUACCGGUUUUUGUUUGUGUUAUCAUACUGUUAAUUAUUAUAGCGCUUUCUUCGCCGCACCAGAUCUAAUAAUUUUUUGAAUACUAUUUCCAGAACCUAAACCACCGAUAUCUUGUCCAACUAGCAACUACAAAAUCAUUCUUUGAUCAUCUCAAAUCUCGAUAUAGUCAAAACACAAAAACAAAAAAUGAUUUAAAGUUAAAACAAAAUAAAAAAACAAAGCUCUGAACUUUAUAUUCAGUGAGGAAUAAAAGCAAACACUCGGUGGAUGUAUUUUGAUUAAUACGAGGAAACUAAAACUCACAAUUGUUUUAUCAAAUCUGAACAAAUCUUCUUCUCUCCGACGAUAUGUUUCCGUGGCCAACGAGAUAAAAUUGGAGAAUCCGUGAAAUCCUAUCCUUCUCCAUCUCAAAAGCAAACAUUAAUAUGACGGAAUCUCUUCAACACAGUCUUCGAUUUAUCAAACUUGCUAAAAUCAAACACUCAAAGGAACCUCUUUUAUUCCUCUUUGAAAAUUAUUGUGCUAAAUUUACGUUAGAUUUAUUUGACCAAAAAGAGGAGAAGAAGACGAAGAAAUGAGGAGAAGAAAGUGGAGGAAGGAGACGAAGAGAGGAAGAG